rnacentral:piRNA from 1 species
UGUCAGGACUCCUCUCUUGGCUGGGCUGC